GGGCGGCUAGCUCAGUCGGUUAGAGCGUCGCAUUCACAUUGCGAAGGUCACAAGUUCGAGUCUUGUGCCGCCCACCA
rnacentral:tRNA from 3 species